AUCAUCUUCUCAGAGAGCAACAAAGCAAACGACAGCUCUCGUUUGAGGUCGAUUAUGAAUUUGAAAUCCUCAUCGUCGACAAACGAGGUCUGAAUGUGCUGCUUGAAUACCUCAGAUAAGGAAGUAAUGAGAGCCAUAAACUCUAUGACAGAAACUGAUGAAGAAAAGCCGGGAUUCCUCGGCGUCCUCGACUGCAUCAUGUGUACACGUACACACUGAAUGUACGUACUUUGUACAAUAUUGGAGUCCAACAUGCCAUGAUACGAGUACGAAGGAGACGACAAAGGAUAAACACGUUUCGUCACAUUCUCAAAACAAAACUUCUUCAAGAACCCAAGAGCAAUAGUACCAGAGUCAAAAUUGCAACAAUUCCGUGCGGUUGGCUCCAUCAACGAAGAAAAGACGUGUAGUGUACAUAUCAGAAAGUUACUUUUUUUGCAAAUGGGGAGAUUGGAAUUUAGAAAUGGUUUCUUCGCCGGGAUUUGGCUUUGAUAGUGUCCGCCAUCCAAGAGAACCCGUCAAUCAGUCCCUCUCCGUUGGGAGCCGAGGUUCCUUGGACAAACCAUUGGCAACGGUUCAGUUUUCGCAAGUCAAGUUUGUCGGUGAUCUCACUCACAUUCAAGGCCAUGGGGAGAUCUUGUUUAUUGGCCAUUACCAAGAGAACCGUGUCACGGAGGCGAUCAUCAGACAGCACAGACCAGAGCUCUUCCCGUGAUUCGUUCAUUCGUUCCUGAUCACAGGAGUCUACCACAUAGAUUACGGCAUCGUUGUUCUCGAAGUAGUGUUGCCACAAUGGUCUGGAACAGAAUCAUUGGUUGAAAGUUAAAUCGGACAGAGGAGCACUCACCCGGAUGGUGAAAUUGAUAUUGGCACUCGCCAGCCAAACAUUACACAAUCGGUUCUAAUUACUUUGAAAAAGUCUUGCUAAUUGUUGUCGCUUGCCUGGCUUGAUAAUUGCAAUUGUGUAAUGCCGCUUUUCUCAACAGAGGAUCUAGCGAACUUUACCGAAGCCCCGUGAGUUGUAAGAUUCAAACAUAACAUGUUAACUUUUACCUGAUCUUGGUUUGACCACCCACGUCCCAAACCGUCAUGCACAAGUUCUUGAACUCGAUCGUCUCGACAUUGAACCCGAUGGUUGGGAUGGUGUGCACCAACUCGUUAUGCUUCAUCUUGUACAAGAUGCUGGUUUUCCCCGCUCCAUCGAGGCCUAUCAUGCACACUCUCGCCGGAGUGGCUGCGAACAAUUUCUCAACGAGAGAAGAAAACAAAAGGCCCAUUUUGGAGGUACUAUGGUACAAUUACUGAAGUAUGGUUAUUGGUCCGUUCGUGUCAUCGCCUCCACGUGUCCCAAAACAGCCGAUCGUCAUGUCAUCAGAAUAUGGAGUGUAGUCCUAUGUACUACGUUGUAUGGAGUGAUAAGUUGCGAGCCUAGGGCCUUAGCAAAGAAGAACCUUAGUUUGGAUUAGUCUCCAGUAUGAGUCAUUCACUCCUACGUUUUCGAAUUGCGCCAUGAUAUCUGAAUCUAAAGCCGAUAACGCAAUUAUCAUAAUCGAUAGUCUCAUAGCAAAUGAGUGUCACCCAUUUGAAGUAAGCUUGAGUCGGUGGAAUUUCGGAAUAAGAAAUACUUAUUCCAUUGUC